AGCUUUACCCUAACACAAGCAAAGACUUGCCUUCUGAAAGCAGUAAGUGCUAUUUGUUGGGGUAGUGUU
rnacentral:pre_miRNA from 1 species